CUUUGAGCUCAAUGCCAUGACUGAGGAAGACCACGGGGUUUUCUCUCUUAGAGGGGAGGAAUCCUUGAUAUUCUUCAUUCCAAUUGUUCACCUCUACUGUAGGGCUCAGUAAACACUUAAGGAAGUUGCCGUGCACUGCAGCCUGCCGGAGACAUGAAGGAAUGUACGGGAGGAUAAUCGCAACAUCAUCAACCCAAUUCUCCAAGUAAUUUGCCAUGGGACAGGCACACCCCAUGUGUUUGGGAAGACAAUGGGAAGGUUCUGUUUUCUGCUCCAAGACUGAUUCAACCAGUUGGAUCUGGAAGGGGAUAAAGGGCUGUGUGGCUGCUUGAUUUUCAUUGUCUAGUGGCAGCCAAAAUUGGAAAAGAGAGAAGUGCAGACUUUAAAGACAAGCAGCGACAGCUCAUCAGCAGUCUAACAACACGACAGAUGACAGGCCCAGAGGCACACCCAGGGCCGCCAGCCCAUCACCCUGUGCAGGAUGUCAAAGAGCAGCUGCAGCAAAGGAAGAAGAUCAUCCAGACUUAAAUGUUUGGGCCUUGCUAAGACCAUAGAGUCUUUGUGCUUUGGAAACAGUCCUCCAUACAAAGACCCCUUCCUAGAAAAGAGUGGAAAGAAACCAAGGUGGAAUGGAUACAACAGAAAGGAGACCAUGCUAAUAUUCUUGUGCAAUGCUUCCUGGGCAGAAAUUAUGUCAUAAAGGAUGUUCAAUUCUGCAAAGCUAUGUCUCUCUCUGCGGUUUGCCUCAGAGGAGGGGCGUUUCAUAGCUGUAGUGAGUAAGGGGGCCCUUGCUGACGUUCAUCAGAUAUGCCAAGGCACAGGAAGAAAGCAUUGAGGUCACAGGGCAGCUCAGGUCCGCCUGUGGUAAUUGAAAACAGGUGACGAGAUUGGGUUGAUUUUAUUUUGGAAAAGUAAAUUAGUGCUGCACCACUCGGACAUGGCUAAUUCAUGAAGCCUCUGGUUUGUAUUAGACACCCAACAUGCCUUUCAGAAAGAAAUGACACAACAAUUAAUG
rnacentral:lncRNA from 1 species